UUAAGUGACUAAGCGUAUACGGUGGAUGCCUUGGCAGUCAGAGGCGAUGAAGGACGUAGUAACUUGCGAAAAGCGUUGGCGAGCUAGUAACAAGCAUUUGAGCUAACGAUGUCCGAAUGGGGAAACCCGGCCACAUAAGUGGUCAUCAUAACGUGAAUACAUAGCGUUAUGAGGCGAACCUGGGGAACUGAAACAUCUAAGUACCCAGAGGAAAAGAAAUCAACCGAGAUUCCCCUAGUAGCGGCGAGCGAACGGGGAUUAGCCCUUAAGUCUAUGGGGUGUUAGUGGAAUGUGUUGGAAAGCACAGCGGCACAGGGUGAUAGCCCCGUACACGAAAACUAACCAUAGAUGAAAACGAGUAAGGCGGGACACGUGACAUCCUGUUUGAAUAUGGGGGGACCAUCCUCCAAGGCUAAAUACUCCUGACUGACCGAUAGUGAACCAGUACCGUGAGGGAAAGGCGAAAAGAACCCCUGUGAGGGGAGUGAAAUAGAUCCUGAAACCGUGUACGUACAAGCAGUGGGAGCGGUUCUUGAGACCGUGACUGCGUACCUUUUGUAUAAUGGGUCAGCGACUUACUUUCAGUAGCAAGGUUAACCGUUUAGGGGAGCCGUAGGGAAACCGAGUCUUAAUAGGGCGAUCAGUUGCUGGGAGUAGACCCGAAACCCGGCGAUCUACCCAUGGGCAGGUUGAAGGUUGAGUAACAUCAACUGGAGGACCGAACACACGUAUGUUGAAAAAUGCGGUGAUGACUUGUGGGUCGGAGUGAAAGGCUAAUCAAGCCGGGAGAUAGCUGGUUCUCCCCGAAAUCUAUUUAGGUAGAGCCUCGCACGAACACCAUUGGGGGUAGAGCACUGUUAAGGCUAGGGGGUCAUCCCGACUUACCAACCCUUUGCAAACUCCGAAUACCAAUGAGUACUACUCGGGAGACAGACGGCGGGUGCUAACGUCCGUCGUCAAAAGGGAAACAACCCAGACCGUCAGCUAAGGUCCCAAAGUGUAUGUUAAGUGGGAAACGAUGUGGGAAGGCUUAGACAGCUAGGAUGUUGGCUUAGAAGCAGCCAUCAUUUAAAGAAAGCGUAAUAGCUCACUAGUCGAGUCGGCCUGCGCGGAAGAUUUAACGGGGCUAAACAUACCACCGAAGCUACGGGUUUGCAGUUUACUGCAAGCGGUAGAGGAGCGUUCUGUAAGCGGUUGAAGGUGAAGGGGUAACCCACACUGGACGUAUCAGAAGUGCGAAUGCUGACAUGAGUAACGAUAAAGGGAGUGAAAAACUCCCUCGCCGAAAGACCAAGGGUUCCUGUCCAACGUUAAUCGGGGCAGGGUGAGUCGACCCCUAAGGUGAGGCCGAAAGGCGUAAUCGAUGGAAAACAGAUUAAUAUUUCUGUACCUCUGCUAACUGCGAUGGAGAGACGGAGAAGGCUAGGCUAGCGCGGCGUUGGUAGUCCGCGUUUAAGGUAGUAGGCGGUGUUCUUAGGCAAAUCCGGGAACACAUUACGCUGAGAGCUGAUGACGAGUCACUAAGGUGAUGAAGUAGUUGAUGCCAUGCUUCCAGGAAAAUCUUCUAAGCUUCAGGUUAGUAGGGAUCGUACCCCAAACCGACACAGGUGGUCGGGUAGAGAAUACCAAGGCGCUUGAGAGAACUCGGCUGAAGGAACUAGGCAAAAUGGUACCGUAACUUCGGGAGAAGGUACGCUGCUGUUGGUGAUGGGACUUGCUCCCUAAGCUGACGGCAGUCGCAGAUACCAGGUGGCUGCAACUGUUUAUCAAAAACACAGCACUGUGCAAAAUCGCAAGAUGACGUAUACGGUGUGACGCCUGCCCGGUGCUUGAAGGUUAAUUGAUUGGGUUAUCGCAAGAGAAGCUCAUGAUCGAAGCCCAAGUAAACGGCGGCCGUAACUAUAACGGUCCUAAGGUAGCGAAAUUCCUUGUCGGGUAAGUUCCGACCUGCACGAAUG
rnacentral:rRNA from 1 species